rnacentral:rRNA from 1 species
GAUGAACGCUAGCGGCAGGCCUAACAUAUGCAAGUCGAGGGGUAGCAGGAUUAAGCUUGCUUAAUUGCUGACGACCGGCGCACGGGUGCGUAACGCGUAUGCAACCUACCUUAUACUGGGGUAUAGCCCGGAGAAAUUCGGAUUAAUCCCCCAUAGUACUAAUGAAUCGCAUGGUUUAUUAGUUAAAGCAUUGCGGUAUAAGAUGGGCAUGCGUCCUAUUAGCUAGAUGGUGAGGUAACGGCUCACCAUGGCCCCGAGAGGUAGGGGGCCUGAGAGGGUGGGCCCCCACACAGGUACUGGGACACGGACCAGACUCCUACGGGAGGCAGCAGUGAGGAAUAUUGGUCAAUGGGCGCAAGCCUGAACCAGCCAUGCCGCGUGCAGGAAGAAUGCCCUAUGGGUUGUAAACUGCUUUUAUUUGGGAAUAAACCUCUUUACGUGUAGAGAGCUGAAGGUACCAAAUAAAUAAGCACCGGCUAACUCCGUGCCAGCCGCCGCGGUAA